UGCUUCCUUCACCUUCAAACUUUCCCCUACGAAAGUGGUAGUAGUUUGAAGGUGAAGGAAGCG
rnacentral:miRNA from 1 species